rnacentral:lncRNA from 1 species
CUUCUCCUUAGUUGAUUUCAUCUUCAGUUGCUUGAGCUUAAUUACAGACUGAGAGAAGAUGUCUUGCAGCUGUGGAUCUAGCUGCAGCUGCGGCUCAAACUGCUCCUGCGGGUAAUUUUCACUGUAACUUUGCUGACUUGUUCUUGAUUUAUAGGGCAAUCUUUUCAUUAUUAAUAUUCUCUAAAUAUGCAGAGUAAUCGUUGUUGCAGAGUUAAUUCUUGUGGUAACUGAUUGAUGUUGAUUUUGUUGCAGAAAGAAGUACCCUGACCUGGAAGAGAAGAGCAGCAGCACCAAGGCCACCGUCGUGCUGGGUGUGGCGCCGGAGAAGAAGGCGCAGCAGUUUGAGGCGGCCGCAGAGUCCGGCGAGACCGCCCAUGG